UUCUCAGAGGGUGAGGGUCCCACAUCUCCUGCAGGACAGGCCCUAGCUACUGAGUCACAGAAACCCAGGGCCGAAGCAAAGUCCCAAUCCCAGAGAGGCUGGGGCACACCUACAACUGAAAGGAGGCUUAGAAAUCCUUCAGAGACCACCCUAUCGGUUCUCCUCCACCUGGACAGGAUGAGCCAGCAACACAGAAGGAAGAGGCCUUCCUCCGAAAGAAAAAGCACAAGAAAGAUGGACACAUGGCAGAGUCUUAAAGUCAAAGAAGUAUUCUGUAAGCAUAAUUCUUCCUAUGAAUGCCUUCUCUAUAAAGAGGUUGAAGCAAGGUAUAGAGGCCAGAAGAGGUCAUUGUCUCCAAAUAGCAAGCAAGACCUCUCCGAGGCUAACUUUGUGCAGUCUGUAGGUGUAUUCAUGCCGUGGCUCAAAUCUUUAAAUCCAACUUUAAAGAUAUUUUUAUCCUUAUUCAA
ensembl:lncRNA LINC00927 long intergenic non-protein coding RNA 927